rnacentral:lncRNA from 1 species
AUUUCCUCCCAGAGUAGGGCUCUUCCAGUUUAGGAAGGCUCCCGGGGCUGGCAUUGCUGCAUAGCUCAACCCCCAGGCAUCUGUUUACCACUGUCACAGCAGUUCACUCAAACUGUGCACUCUCUAAAUAAAGACCUUGCUUUGAUUAUAAUUUCCAUGAACAUGAAAACUCCCAAGUCUUAAUCCUGAAAGAAGGAGGCCAUUUCCAGCAGUCGGAAAAGAUUACAGUCCAGGUAAAAAGGAUGCUCGACUACCCUAAUCUUGUGGGUUGUGUCCUGUGGGCUGGUUUUGGCUGGAAUUCUACAGGUGAAAUGACUGCAGCCUUCUGUCUGCGAGGAGCCUUUGUUAUCUCCACAGGGGAAGAUUAGCCCUGAGCUAACAUCUGACAAUUCUCCUCUUUUUGUUGAGGAAGGCUGGCCCUGAGCUAACAUCCAUGCCCACCUUCCUCUACUUUAUAUGUGGGACACCUACCACAGCAUGGCUUGACAAGUAGUGCCAUGUCCACACUCGGGAUCUGAACCAGCGAACCUCGGGCCACCAAAGUGGAACGUGUGCACUUGACCGCUGCACCACCAGGCCAGCCCCUCUAACAAUAAUUUUUAACGAGUUAAUGCAGCUGCAAAAUUCACACUCCAAUCAGUCCACCCCUACAGUGCCAUGGAGAGAAGGAUUGGAAUGAUUUUGAACCACCUAAAUUUGGAGAUGUGGAACAAAUAGUGUCUGUUUAUUUAGUGAUAAAUUGUAGGUGGGCUGUGUCCUGCCACCUUGACCCAAAGGUGAGCUAGCUCAGCAUUGCAUCAGCAGAGAUUUUGUUUUUAGGUGCUGUUUUUUCCAUUUUGAAAGCAAUAAAAUGGCAGCCUGUGAACAAGAGAGGGAGUAAAGAGGAAAAUAUGUGACCCGAUAAGGAGUUUAUACAACGAUUCUGCCUUUGACUAUAAUAAACUAUACUAUAAAAAGUGCUAUAAAUUUAAGAAAAAGAUAUUUUUUUCCUGUUGGGAAAAAAAAAGGAAAUAGAGAAAGAGAUCAAAACAGUGUUUGAAUUUUUGAAAUCCUUUAGACAGCUAUGCCAGAUAGUCAAUAACACUGACAGCAGAAGCCUUCCCAAACUAGAGUCAACUGUGAGAUUAAAUGGUCUUGCAAGGAUUAUCUUAUUGUAAAACCUCCUAGAAGAUAAAUGGAAUUUUCUAUAAGUAGUCAGUAUUAACCUGUUUGCUAAAUUGAAUAGAGAAUGCCAGGCAGUUAGAAAAAUCUAAGAAAAGAGCCUUGAAUUGUGAGCCAGGAGACCUUGGUUUUAAUAUCUCUCCUAAACCAAAUUCCUGGUUAUUCUGAUGGCUGGGACUUAAUUUAACCCACUGAGUCUAUAUCUUACUGGAUUACUCGCUCUCUAAGUCUUUUCCAACUUCAAUAUGUCCAUAUCUCAGUAGCCUAUCGCUGGUCUCCUCAGUCAGAUAUAGGCAUUUCUAGCUACUAAGGAGUGGAGGUAUUGGGUCAUCAUUUAUGUCAGUCUUAAGUAGCAGUAGUCACAGCAGCCACACCUGC